GAAGACGCUCAAAGCUUGGUAAGAAGAUUGAAUUACUCCAAGAUUCUAAACAAAAACUAUUGGGAGAAGGAUUGGAACCAUGUUCUGUUAAUGAGCUACAACAGUUAGAAAACCAGUUGGAACGAAGCUUAAGCAGAAUAAGGGAAAGAUAGGAUCUAUUAUUUCGCCAACAGAUUGAGAAGCUAAAGGAAGAGGAGAGUUGUCUCGGGGAAGAAAAGGGAA